ensembl:snRNA U2 U2 spliceosomal RNA
AUCGCUUCUUGGCCUUUUGGCUAAGAUCAAGCGUAGUCUAUCUGUUCUUGUCAGUUUAAUAUCUGAUACAUCUUCUAUCCGAGGACAACAUAUUAAAUGGAUAUUUGGAGCCGGGAGCUGGAAUAGGAGCUUGCUCCGUCCACUCCGCACAUCGACCUGGUAUUGCAGUGCUGUGACAUGAGAAUUCCAU